ensembl:snoRNA SNORA66 Small nucleolar RNA SNORA66
UGUCAAAAAAGACCUUCUCUGUAAGAGAACCAGGUUUGCUAAAGUACUAUGUGGUGAUAGGAAUGUAUUAGCUUCAGAAGCUACUAAGCUUGCCCAUUCUACCCUCAUACAGUA